GGCUCUAUAGUGUAGUGGUUAGCACAUCUGCUUUGCAUGCAGAAGGUCCUGGGGUUACGCCCCAGGUGUAGCCA
rnacentral:tRNA from 1 species